GGUGAGAACAGUGCGCUGUAAAAGGGGACCGUCAACUACACAUCCCAGCUGACAGCUCUCCCCGGGCAGGCGGCCGCGUCUGUUGAGACGCUGGGGCGCGACGCCCGCUUCUGUCGCUGGACAUCCGUGGAUUGACACAGCCGAGAUACAGGAAAUUAAAAUGAAGACUCUGCGAUGAGUUAUUGCAUCCCCACACCUUUCCUUCUUCCUUGGCAUGGUCUGCUGCAGCUUCUGAGAAUGGAAUCUUCAGCGCUCAGGGCUUGUCUACAUGGGGAAAUAGCCCGGAAUAGCAAUUGCUCAACAGCUAUUCUGCAUGAGCUCCCUGUGUGGACACUCCUGUUCUACACUAAUAAUACCUUUGUGCAGUUUAGCUUAAUCCACUUAUUUGGGUUUUAAAUUCACAUCCUAGCUUAUUUUUCAGACAAGCCCAUAGACACUCUACUGAUGGGUGCUAUGGUAAAGCCUCACAUGGAGAGAUAUUAAGUGCUUCCAAAGUGGCAAGACGUUUGGCAAUCACACAUCAGAUUUCUUGUAGAUGAUUCCUCCUCCCAGCUCGUUUGCAGUGCAGAAUGGUAAAACAAUUUUCUAAAGAAAUAAUUAGACUACUUCAUAGCUCUUAUGUAAUGCUUUUCAUCCAUAGCUCUCAAAGCCCUCUUACAAUAACUGUCCUCCUUUUAUAGUUAUUUUUGAUUUGUGAUAUCAAUUAUCUAGUUCUGCUGUGGUUUUCUUUUUUAAAUUAAAGGAAAGCAAUAUAUAUAUAUAUAUAUAUAUAUAUAUAUAUAUAUAUGGGUUCUGUUUUUAUGGCAUGGAUGACACAGAAACAGGAAGGUUAGGGUGCCCUCUCCUGUUCAGUUUUCUUCUCAGUUUUGCUGCAGUAAAAUAAAAAGGGUAACAAGCAAUAGUGUUAGAUUUUAUAUUGGAGCAACUUUAGUUCCAUAACAUUGUACUGAGGUUAUAAACAUGGAGUGUCAUGUAUAUAUGGAUACAUAAAUAGACCAUAACUGAAAGGGAGCCACCUCAGAACAGACAGCUGGCAAUCUACUAGCAAACAGCAUUACUGUGAGGAAUGUGGCAAAUCUGACAGGUGCCAUGGGAACCUUAGUGUUCACGUACAGCGGUGGGAUCAAGGUUUGCAGGUAUUGUUACCCCUUUUGACCAGAGCAGAUAGUCAGUUUGGGGGGUCGUGGGUUGUUCCCAUUAGGAGAAACUGAUGAUGGAGUCAGGUAUUUCUGUUUAUUUACAAGAAACACACAAAUUCUUGUUUCCCUGAACACAGAAGGACGUGGUUUCUUUCCUCACAAUUCCAAGCUCCUUUCUAUCCACUUAGCCCCAAGCUCUCUGUCAGCUCUUUCUCACUGAGCUUUUUCUCAGGAUCAAGGUCACAGUGCUUCUCUGCAUCUGGUGCUUCCUUGCUGCCUUCUUGGUGUGCUGUAAUGUUUCUACAGGCUGUGUCUCCACACACAGUUCGAACUGAGCAAGCAAUACCCACCCAAACCCCUACUUUCAGGAGGCCAUUUUCUCACUGGUCCUGCAUGGCAUGGCCUGUGUUUUGGAAAGCAACUCUAUUAUUUCAACAUUUUAUUCCACAAAGGAGCUUGUGUUUCUUAUCUUUAUUUUUAUGGUUACAUCCACUAGCUUCAACAAGGUUUAACCCAAACCCUAGCAUCACAGUAUCAUCCAAAACCACCCAUCCAGAGAGAUAGAGUGCAUGAGUGUAAACUGAGGGAACUACCCUGUCAAAUCUGCAUUAAUCCUGUUGGAAAUUGGAAUGGAACCUGAUUGUGUAGGGUGUCUUGUAAUUUCAAAGCCGAAGUUUAGAACAUGGUGCCGGCUGCAUCCUAGCAACAUAGUGAAGAAAUAUAGGAAUUUUUAAACUUCCACUGGAGAAUAACAAUUUCAUGAGAUCAUAAGUGGAUAGGAAGAGUGUGAAGCCAUUCUGUGGCUACCUAAUCUUAUCUAAUUAUUAUUACAGACAUUUAUAAGAUGGCCAUCACUGUAUUACUUAGUCCCCAUCACAUCAUUUAGAUUGUCUCCAGAAACUAAAUAUGUGUUCUGUUUCUGACCCCUCUCAGUGAUGACACCAUCUUUCCUAAAUGGAUCAGAAAAGGAAUCUUCUCAGCAAGAAUGCUCCUUGCCAAUGGAAUUCAAACAUUUGCAGCUAAUAAGGUCUGAACUAGCACUACCUACAACAUAUUCCUAGAUACCACUGUAGGAUUGGUGGGAAACCCUUUCCAUUAAAUUGUUCUCUAAUUUCUCCCAUUGGUAUCAAUGGCACAGAAGAAAGCUGUUAAUUUAUUCCUGCUGCAUUAGCUUCCUAUGAGCUGAACCAUGGCUGGCCCCGGUAUAGGUAAGCAAGAAGGCAAAAGUGUUAGGAGUCUCCCCAGUCUGACCCAUUGGGCCCUAGUGCAUGGCCAGGUCAAACGGUGGUUUUGGAAUGCAGGCUUUGCUCCCCGCUAAAGCCCCCAUUGCUGACAGCUGCUUGAAAGAGCUCAGGUUGAUGGAGUGAAGUGCAUGCAACACACUCCCCUCCAGUGAGGAACUACCAUUCUAGCAUGUGUUUCCUAGGAGGAAUUUUGUUUGUGUGGCCUGUCUAGUGUAUUUCUGCCUAGAGAAGAAAGCUUCUAACUCUUCUUCUCCAUCUUAAAUAUUCUGACAUAUAAUGAGGACAUUUAGGAACAAGGAUUUAUUACUGAUGUUUUCUAAGGCUGUAUUUAAUUUAUUAUUUGACCAUUAUUUAAUAUUAUGGGUGGUAAUAGCACCUAAUUGAAAGAAAUAUCAAAAAUGACUGUUUCUGAAAAAGGUCUUAUUUUUUGUUUGAAACUGAUCUCCCGUUGUCUUUAUAUAAAAUCACUACUUAACACUUUUAAACUGGAUAAUCAAUAGACUGAGAAAUUCACAAAUAGUACCUGGUUCUUAAGAUGUAUUACUUAAAAACUCUUCUUGAUUUUACUUUGUUACUUUUAUCUGCACCUUUUCACUAGUCCUGCCAUGUUUAAACUUUUGUCAGAAUUUCCACUGAAACCUUCAUUCUUCAGGUUUUACAUCUCAAUGCUUUUCAGUGAUAGGGUUUAUGUUGUUGAUCUUCAUGCACUUUUUUUUCUCUGUGCAGUUUAGAGCAUCUCCUCAAAAUAUCAAGACAUUUUUAAAGCUAAUUGCUAAGUACACAAUUCUCCCAUAGUUUCAUAUGCCUUUGUUUAUUAUGCAUUUUAUGUUGGUUAUUUAGUGUAAUCAAUGUAAGCUUUUUCCACACAUCAAACAGAGGAGACUUUUCCUUUCUUUGUUCUAAGCAGAAGGAAAACAAAACCAACUUUGACUGUACUUGAUUUUUUGUUUUCUAUAUACAGCCAUGUAUUUUGUUGUUCAUUUGUUAAGGCUGUGUAAUCUAAAUCUGACUUUUUGUAUAUUAUAGCUACAAUCAAUGUCUGAUUUAUAUUUUCCAAUGUCUUCCUACAGGGUAUAAUACAAAAUCUGUUUUGUACAGUAAGGGUUUUUAUAUAAUGAAAAUAAAUGAUAUUCACAUGAA